rnacentral:rRNA from 1 species
AGAGUUUGAUCAUGGCUCAGAACGUACGCUGGCGGCACGCCUAACACAUGCAAGUCGAACGAAGUAGCAAUACUUAGUGGCAGACGGGUGAGUAACAUGUAGGUAUCUGCCCUUUGGCCUGGAAUAACACGAGGAAACUUGUGCUAAUACCGGAUAAGUCUUCACAGAGAAAGCUUUAUGCACCAUUGGAUGAGCCUGCACUUGAUUAGUUUGUUGGUAGGGUAAUGGCCUACCAAGACUGUGAUCAAUAGCUGAUUUGAGAGGAUGAUCAGCCACAUUGGGACUGAGACACGGCCCAAACUCCUACGGGAGGCAGCAGUGGGGAAUCUUGCACAAUGGAGGAAACUCUGAUGCAGCGAUGCCGCGUGAGUGAAGAAGGCCUUUGGGUUGUAAAGCUCUUUCGUCGGGGAAGAAAAUGACUGUACCCGAAUAAGAAGGUCCGGCUAACUUCGUGCCAGCAGCCGCGGUAAUACGAAGGGACCUAGCGUAGUUCGGAAUUACUGGGCUUAAAGAGUUCGUAGGUGGUUGAAAAAGUUGGUGGUGAAAUCCCAGAGCUUAACUCUGGAACUGCCAUCAAAACUUUUCAGCUAGAGUUUGAUAGAGGAAAGCAGAAUUUCUAGUGUAGAGGUGAAAUUCGUAGAUAUUAGAAAGAAUACCAAUUGCGAAGGCAGCUUUCUGGAUCAUUACUGACACUGAGGAACGAAAGCAUGGGUAGCGAAGAGGAUUAGAUACCCUCGUAGUCCAUGCCGUAAACGAUGUGUGUUAGACGUUGGAAAUUUAUUUUCAGUGUCGCAGCGAAAGCGAUAAACACACCGCCUGGGGAGUACGACCGCAAGGUUAAAACUCAAUGAAUUGACGGGGACCCGCACAAGUAGUGGAGCAUGUGGUUUAAUUCGAAGAUACGCGCAGAACCUUACCAACACUUGACAUGUUCGUCGCGACUUUAAGAGAUUAAAGUUUUCGGUUCGGCCGGACGAAACACAGGUGCUGCAUGGCUGUCGUCAGCUCGUGUCGUGAGAUGUUGGGUUAAGUCCCGCAACGAGCGCAACCCUCACUUUUAGUUGCCAUCAUUAAGUUGGGCACUCUGAAAGAACUGCCAGUGAUAAGCUGGAGGAAGGUGGGGAUGACGUCAAGUCCUCAUGGCCCUUACGUGUUGGGCUACACACGUGCUACAAUGGUAUUUACAACAGGAAGCAAGACGGCGACGUCAAGCAAAUCCUUAAAAAAUACCUCAGUUCGGAUUGCACUCUGCAACUCGAGUGCAUGAAGCUGGAAUUACUAGUAAUCGUGGAUCAGCGUGCCACGGUGAAUGCGUUCCCGGGUCUUGUACACACCGCCCGUCACACCAUGGGAGUUGGUUCUACCUUAAGGCAAGGUUUCAAACCCUUGACCACGGUAUAGUCAGCGACUGGGGUGAAGUCAUAACAAGGUAGCCGUA